UAGGGAAUCUUCGGCAAUGGGGGGAACCCUGACCGAGCAACGCCGCGUGAGUGAAGAAGGUUUUCGGAUCGUAAAGCUCUGUUGUUAAGGAAGAACGAGUGUGAGAAUGGAAUGUUCAUACUGUGACGGUACUUAACCAGAAAGGGACGGCUAACUACGUGCCAGCAGCCGCGGUAAUACGUAGGUCCCGAGCGUUGUCCGGAUUUAUUGGGCGUAAAGCGAGCGCAGGCGGUUAGAAAAGUCUGAAGUGAAAGGCAGUGGCUCAACCAUUGUAGGCUUUGGAAACUGUUUAACUUGAGUGCAGAAGGGGAGAGUGGAAUUCCAUGUGUAGCGGUGAAAUGCGUAGAUAUAUGGAGGAACACCAGUGGCGAAGGCGACUCUCUGGUCUGUAACUGACGCUGAGGCUCGAAAGCGUGGGUAGCAAACAGG
rnacentral:rRNA from 1 species